rfam:Ciona savignyi cont_813, whole genome shotgun sequence.
GCUCCAGUGGCGCAAUCGGUUAGCGCGCCGUACUUAUAUGACAGUUACGGAGUAAUGCGGAGGUUGUGAGUUCGAGCCUCACCUGGAGCA